CACGUAGGGCGCAAGCGUUGUCCGGAAUUAUUGGGCGUAAAGAGCUCGUAGGCGGCUUGUCACGUCGGAUGUGAAAGCCCGGGGCUUAACCCCGGGUCUGCAUUCGAUACGGGCUAGCUAGAGUGUGGUAGGGGAGAUCGGAAUUCCUGGUGUAGCGGUGAAAUGCGCAGAUAUCAGGAGGAACACCGGUGGCGAAGGCGGAUCUCUGGGCCAUUACUGACGCUGAGGAGCGAAAGCGUGGGGAGCGAACAGG
rnacentral:rRNA from 1 species